rnacentral:rRNA from 1 species
UACAGAGGGUGCGAGCGUUAAUCGGAGUUACUGGGCGUAAAGGGCGCGUAGGCUGGUUAUAUAAGUGAGAUGUGAAAUCCCUGGGCUUAACCUAGGAACUGCAUCUCAUAACUGUAUGACUGGAGUAUUGUAGAGGGUAGUGGAAAUUUCCGGUGUAGCGGUGAAAUGCGUAGAGAUCGGAAAGGAACACCAGUGGCGGAAGGCGACUACCUGGACAAAUACUGACGCUGAGGCGGCGAAGAGCGUGGGGAAGCAAACAGG